rnacentral:rRNA from 1 species
UACGUAGGGUGCAAGCGUUAAUCGGAAUUACUGGGCGUAAAGCGUGCGCAGGCGGUUGUGCAAGACCGAUGUGAAAUCCCCGGGCUCAACCUGGGAAUGGCAUUGGUGACUGUACGGCUAGAGUGUGUCAGAGGGGGGUAGAAUUCCACGUGUAGCAGUGAAAUGCGUAGAGAUGUGGAGGAACACCGAUGGCGAAGGCAGCCCCCUGGGUUAACACUGACGCUCAGGCACGAAAGCGUGGGGAGCAAACAGG